UCCUCCUCCACGUCCAACCUGUUCAGUCCUUUCCUGAGACUAGCAAAGCCACGUGUUCCCAAUGUUCUCAUGGUAGACCAUCAUCUUUCCGCCUCUCUCUCAGUAGGUACAUUUUUAUGAAUACCACCAUCUUUCUUCUGAGUCCUCAGAUUUUAAACUCUAGCGCCAUCUUGGAUUUCUUUCUUUGGUUUCCUACAUCCAAUCACUUACCUGGCCCAAAACAAAAACCACUCCUGAAACUAAGAUCUCACCCUUCCUACCAGCCUCUGGUGGUCUUUUAGCAAA